rnacentral:rRNA from 1 species
AGAGUUUGAUCCUGGCUCAGGACGAACGCUGGCGGCGCGCCUAACACAUGCAAGUCGAACGAGCGAGAGAGAGCUUGCUUUCUCGAGCGAGUGGCGAACGGGUGAGUAACGCGUGAGGAACCUGCCUCAAAGAGGGGGACAACAGUUGGAAACGACUGCUAAUACCGCAUAAGCCCACGGCUCGGCAUCGAGCAGAGGGAAAAGGAGCAAUCCGCUUUGAGAUGGCCUCGCGUCCGAUUAGCUAGUUGGUGAGGUAACGGCCCACCAAGGCGACGAUCGGUAGCCGGACUGAGAGGUUGAACGGCCACAUUGGGACUGAGACACGGCCCAGACUCCUACGGGAGGCAGCAGUGGGGAAUAUUGCACAAUGGGGGAAACCCUGAUGCAGCGACGCCGCGUGGAGGAAGAAGGUCUUCGGAUUGUAAACUCCUGUUGUUGAGGAAGAUAAUGACGGUACUCAACAAGGAAGUGACGGCUAACUACGUGCCAGCAGCCGCGGUAAAACGUAGGUCACAAGCGUUGUCCGGAAUUACUGGGUGUAAAGGGAGCGCAGGCGGGAAGACAAGUUGGAAGUGAAAUCCAUGGGCUCAACCCAUGAACUGCUUUCAAAACUGUUUUUCUUGAGUAGUGCAGAGGUAGGCGGAAUUCCCGGUGUAGCGGUGGAAUGCGUAGAUAUCGGGAGGAACACCAGUGGCGAAGGCGGCCUACUGGGCACCAACUGACGCUGAGGCUCGAAAGUGUGGGUAGCAAACAGGAUUAGAUACCCUGGUAGUCCACACCGUAAACGAUGAUUACUAGGUGUUGGAGGAUUGACCCCUUCAGUGCCGCAGUUAACACAAUAAGUAAUCCACCUGGGGAGUACGACCGCAAGGUUGAAACUCAAAGGAAUUGACGGGGGCCCGCACAAGCAGUGGAGUAUGUGGUUUAAUUCGACGCAACGCGAAGAACCUUACCAAGUCUUGACAUCCUGCGACGCACAUAGAAAUAUGUGUUUCCUUCGGGACGCAGAGACAGGUGGUGCAUGGUUGUCGUCAGCUCGUGUCGUGAGAUGUUGGGUUAAG